CUUAGCUGUAAGCGUAAAGUGUCAUUUAAGUAUUAUUAUUUAAGCAGAAAGUGUAACUUUUUUUUAACGUUUUGUACAAAAAUAUUCUUCAUAUUUGCGUAUGUAUGUAUAUAGCUACACUGCUCAUUUAGUCUUGCACGAACAAUCAUGCAAGAUCAAUGAAACAUUUCCGUUGAGGGAAGAGCAAAGCUGCCUGCACAUUAUCUACAUCUUUUAGUUUGUAUCCCAAUUGGCUAUACAGAGAAUCAGGACACAGAACGGAGGAAUUUCAUUCAAUUCACAAUGCCUUAAGCCAGCUUCUAGACGAAAACACAAAAUCAACUUUUUUAUGAACAUCUGAAAAAAAAAACAAGAACUCAUGCCCACACCCCUUAGCCUUUGAGAAGUGUCUAUAUUCUGCAGCACUAAUAUUCAAUACUUGUGACCCAUCCCCUCGUGUAAUAUGAGAAAUGAAUGUCACUGAGCAAUGGAGAAGUGAAGAAAGAGACAAAUAAAAAGAGGAGAGAGUAAUGAAUUCAGUUCUCCAGUUCACGACAGGCGCACAUAAGUACAUUAUUUUAAGCUUACAUAAAUAAAACAUAAACACUAUUCGAAGUCGCUCAGGAACACAAUGUAAUAUACUAAUCUGAACCUCAUCCUGGAAACCUAAUGAAACGACUCGAUGAAUAAAACAAGCAAGGGUACCCGCAAUCAAACACAAAAGAAACCGAGAAUACAUAGAGAACGAGCCCUCAUGUAUAUGGAAGAACACUGUCUUUGUUCUCCAUAUUUCAAAAUUGAUAACCAUUUUGACCCUAUACCUGGAUUGAACCUAAGCUUAUAUCGGAUUGGACUUAUCAAGUGCAUGUUCUUUAGCAGCAGCACAUCACGGACUAUGACUAUAUACCUGGAUUGAAAUCUAAAGCAGAACCCCAUUGAAUAGCGACGAAAGUUAAAUGUUGGUUGAAGCUAAUGAAGUCUGCAAUUUCUGACGCCAUAGGCUCUCGAAACGAUUGAAUAAUAGAAAAGAAGACUACUAUUAUAUAUUUUUAUAUUCAAAAUUUAAAGUACCUAUUUAUUUGGAUGUGAAAAUUUUAAGUAACGAAUGUGAGUACUUUAUAUAUUUUGGGAAGAAAAUUUUUUUAAAAGUUUAUAUAUUUGGAUAUGCAAAAUAAAAAUUAUAAAAAAUCGAAA